rnacentral:rRNA from 1 species
UAAGCGACUAAGCGUACACGGUGGAUGCCCUGGCAGUCAGAGGCGAUGAAGGACGUGCUAAUCUGCGAUAAGCGUCGGUAAGGUGAUAUGAACCGUUAUAACCGGCGAUUUCCGAAUGGGGAAACCCAGUGUGAUUCGUCACACUAUCAUUAACUGAAUCCAUAGGUUAAUGAGGCGAACCGGGGGAACUGAAACAUCUAAGUACCCCGAGGAAAAGAAAUCAACCGAGAUUCCCCCAGUAGCGGCGAGCGAACGGGGAGGAGCCCAGAGCCUGAAUCAGUGUGUGUGUUAGUGGAAGCGUCUGGAAAGGCGCGCGAUACAGGGUGACAGCCCCGUACACAAAAAUGCACAUGCUGUGAGCUCGAUGAGUAGGGCGGGACACGUGGUAUCCUGUCUGAAUAUGGGGGGACCAUCCUCCAAGGCUAAAUACUCCUGACUGACCGAUAGUGAACCAGUACCGUGAGGGAAAGGCGAAAAGAACCCCGGCGAGGGGAGUGAAAAAGAACCUGAAACCGUGUACGUACAAGCAGUGGGAGCACAGAGCAAUCUGUGUGACUGCGUACCUUUUGUAUAAUGGGUCAGCGACUUAUAUUCUGUAGCAAGGUUAACCGAAUAGGGGAGCCGAAGGGAAACCGAGUCUUAACUGGGCGUUAAGUUGCAGGGUAUAGACCCGAAACCCGGUGAUCUAGCCAUGGGCAGGUUGAAGGUUGGGUAACACUAACUGGAGGACCGAACCGACUAAUGUUGAAAAAUUAGCGGAUGACUUGUGGCUGGGGGUGAAAGGCCAAUCAAACCGGGAGAUAGCUGGUUCUCCCCGAAAGCUAUUUAGGUAGCGCCUCGUGAAUUCAUCUCCGGGGGUAGAGCACUGUUUCGGCAAGGGGGUCAUCCCGACUUACCAACCCGAUGCAAACUGCGAAUACCGGAGAAUGUUAUCACGGGAGACACACGGCGGGUGCUAACGUCCGUCGUGAAGAGGGAAACAACCCAGACCGCCAGCUAAGGUCCCAAAGUCAUGGUUAAGUGGGAAACGAUGUGGGAAGGCCCAGACAGCCAGGAUGUUGGCUUAGAAGCAGCCAUCAUUUAAAGAAAGCGUAAUAGCUCACUGGUCGAGUCGGCCUGCGCGGAAGAUGUAACGGGGCUAAACCAUGCACCGAAGCUGCGGCAGCGACACUGUGUGUUGUUGGGUAGGGGAGCGUUCUGUAAGCCUGUGAAGGUGUGCUGUGAGGCAUGCUGGAGGUAUCAGAAGUGCGAAUGCUGACAUAAGUAACGAUAAAGCGGGUGAAAAGCCCGCUCGCCGGAAGACCAAGGGUUCCUGUCCAACGUUAAUCGGGGCAGGGUGAGUCGACCCCUAAGGCGAGGCCGAAAGGCGUAGUCGAUGGGAAACAGGUUAAUAUUCCUGUACUUGGUGUUACUGCGAAGGGGGGACGGAGAAGGCUAUGUUGGCCGGGCGACGGUUGUCCCGGUUUAAGCGUGUAGGCUGGUUUUCCAGGCAAAUCCGGAAAAUCAAGGCUGAGGCGUGAUGACGAGGCACUACGGUGCUGAAGCAACAAAUGCCCUGCUUCCAGGAAAAGCCUCUAAGCAUCAGGUAACAUCAAAUCGUACCCCAAACCGACACAGGUGGUCAGGUAGAGAAUACCAAGGCGCUUGAGAGAACUCGUGUGAAGGAACUAGGCAAAAUGGUGCCGUAACUUCGGGAGAAGGCACGCUGAUAUGUAGGUGAAGUCCCUCGCGGAUGGAGCUGAAAUCAGUCGAAGAUACCAGCUGGCUGCAACUGUUUAUUAAAAACACAGCACUGUGCAAACACGAAAGUGGACGUAUACGGUGUGACGCCUGCCCGGUGCCGGAAGGUUAAUUGAUGGGGUCAGCGCAAGCGAAGCUCUUGAUCGAAGCCCCGGUAAACGGCGGCCGUAACUAUAACGGUCCUAAGGUAGCGAAAUUCCUUGUCGGGUAAGUUCCGACCUGCACGAAUGGCGUAAUGAUGGCCAGGCUGUCUCCACCCGAGACUCAGUGAAAUUGAACUCGCUGUGAAGAUGCAGUGUACCCGCGGCAAGACGGAAAGACCCCGUGAACCUUUACUAUAGCUUGACACUGAACAUUGAGCCUUGAUGUGUAGGAUAGGUGGGAGGCUUUGAAGUGUGGACGCCAGUCUGCAUGGAGCCGACCUUGAAAUACCACCCUUUAAUGUUUGAUGUUCUAACGUGGACCCGUGAUCCGGGUUGCGGACAGUGUCUGGUGGGUAGUUUGACUGGGGCGGUCUCCUCCUAAAGAGUAACGGAGGAGCACGAAGGUUGGCUAAUCCUGGUCGGACAUCAGGAGGUUAGUGCAAUGGCAUAAGCCAGCUUGACUGCGAGCGUGACGGCGCGAGCAGGUGCGAAAGCAGGUCAUAGUGAUCCGGUGGUUCUGAAUGGAAGGGCCAUCGCUCAACGGAUAAAAGGUACUCCGGGGAUAACAGGCUGAUACCGCCCAAGAGUUCAUAUCGACGGCGGUGUUUGGCACCUCGAUGUCGGCUCAUCACAUCCUGGGGCUGAAGUAGGUCCCAAGGGUAUGGCUGUUCGCCAUUUAAAGUGGUACGCGAGCUGGGUUUAGAACGUCGUGAGACAGUUCGGUCCCUAUCUGCCGUGGGCGCUGGAGAACUGAGGGGGGCUGCUCCUAGUACGAGAGGACCGGAGUGGACGCAUCACUGGUGUUCGGGUUGUCAUGCCAAUGGCACUGCCCGGUAGCUAAAUGCGGAAGAGAUAAGUGCUGAAAGCAUCUAAGCACGAAACUUGCCCCGAGAUGAGUUCUCCCUGACCCUUUAAGGGUCCUGAAGGAACGUUGAAGACGACGACGUUGAUAGGCCGGGUGUGUAAGCGCAGCGAUGCGUUGAGCUAACCGGUACUAAUGAACCGUGAGGCUUAACCU